rnacentral:rRNA from 1 species
UGGGGAAUAUUGCACAAUGGGGGAAACCCUGAUGCAGCGACGCCGCGUGAGCGAAGAAGGUUUUCGAAUCGUAAAGCUCUGUCCUAUGAGAAGAUAAUGACGGUAUCAUAGGAGGAAGCCCCGGCUAAAUACGUGCCAGCAGCCGCGGUAAUACGUAUGGGGCGAGCGUUGUCCGGAAUUAUUGGGCGUAAAGGGUACGUAGGCGGUCUAUUAAGUCAGGUGUGAAAGCGUGAGGCUUAACCUCAUUAAGCACUUGAAACUGAUAGACUUGAGGGAAGGAGAGGAAGGGGGAAUUCCUAGUGUAGCGGUGAAAUGCGUAGAUAUUAGGAGGAAUACCGGUGGCGAAGGCGACUUUCUGGACUUUUACUGACGCUCAGGUACGAAAGCGGGGGGAGCAAACAGG